rnacentral:misc_RNA from 1 species
GAAAUGCGAUAAGUAAUGUGAAUUGCAGAAUUCAGUGAAUCAUCGAAUCUUUGAACGCACCUUGCGCCCUUUGGCCAUUCCGAAGGGCAUGCCUGUUUGAGUAUCAUGAACACCUCAACUCUCAUGGUUUGCCAUGAUGAGCUUGGACUUUGGGGGUCUUGCUGGCCUAUGGUCGGCUCCUCUCAAACAAAUCAGCUUGCCAGUGUUUGGUGGCAUCACGGGUGUGAUAACUAUCUACGCUUGUGGUUUUCCACCAGAUAACCUUCAGUGAUGAAGGUUCGCUGGAGCUCACAAACGUCUCUCCUCGGCGAGGACAGCUUUCUGAACGUUUGAUCUCAAAUCAGGUAGGACUACCCGCUGAACUUAA